AAAUAAAAAAUAAUAGCGAUUCCGUAUCACAUUGGGUGAGGCAGGUUUCCGGAAGGUAUAAACAAAUUUUAAAAAAUUGGGAAGAGAUAGAAAGUACAUAUGGGCCACUGCGUGUUUGGGACGCGGCGAUGCAGACGGUUAGCAGGCCUGUGCUAACAAGCUAACAGAUUAGCAGGCCGGGGUAAACAUGGUAGUAGUUAGCGGACCUGGGCUAAACAAACUAGCAGUUAGCAUGCCACAUUAGCAAGUAAGGAGAUAGCGAGGGCUAGAGAGUUAGCCUUUGGAGGACGUCGCGAUGGGGUGAGUCUGUUUAUUCCUCUUCAUGCAGUGACAUCGAUAGACCGGUCGUGGGUCCGGGUAUUGUAGCCCAGGAGUAUGCUAGGAGCACAGGAGCUCUGGCCGGGUUAGCUUCAAGCUACGUGGGUGGAAACGCUAGCCAGGAGUAAUCAACCAGGGUUGCGGUUUAGCUCGAUAGCUAGUUGUGAAGAUCCAGCUGAAAAAUGUUCCGUUUGCUGUGGGAAUCCGGGGAUAAGAAAACAAAUAGGUCCGUUAUGCUCUGGUUAGCGUCGCGUUGUUCGAAGUGGCGAGAGCUUUCCGAGCUAAAGGUUAGCUGAUGACCGGUUAGCUGAAGACCGCUAGCAUAGCUGGUGGUUAGCUGGCUAGCUUCAGUUGAGGGGUUCCGGUUCCGAAGUAAAUAUAAAUACUUUAGGAAAAGUAGCUACAUUGGGUGAGGCGGGUUGCAGGAGAGUAUUUGGAAGCUUAGGUUUAGCAAAAUGUUUUUAAAGAUAUGCGAAGAAAAAUAUCUAAAAUGAAAAAGAGACGAUAUUUACAGAGACGAUACGACAGGACGACUUACUGCUACGACAUCUUGGAAUACAAUAGUCAGGGGCACACUCCAACACUAUAUAUAUAUACUAUAUACUAUAGUAUAUACUCCGAUUUCAGAGGACUCUGGUCUGAGUGCCAGAGGACAGAAUAAUUGAUCAACCACCAAAGCUUAAUAAGCCGUGAAUACGGCCGGUGACAGGAAACGUCGGCAAAUAAAGCGUAAUUAAAUUGUUGCCUGAAGCACAGUUAAAGUCACCAAUGCUCUGGAUAACAUGAACACAGCCUAACCAGCUCUGCUAAGGCGAGUAAAAUGGUCAGAGUUUUUGUACUGAAAGUAGCUAGCAAGCUAGCCAAUGUUAACCAGUUAUCUUGGAUGCUUGACUGCCGUUGUGAGGUCAGAACGCUUGAAUCAACCCUCCUCCUCCGCCAGAGCGUCCAGUGUGGCUCUGAACGCUCCGAGAGCGAUACGAACUGACAGUCUGACAACGCUCUGAAUUUACGAACGACCAAGCGCACUCUGGCACUCCAGAUUGAAUUUAAGACCACAUCCAUAAUUUACUAACAAAGUAUUUGUGUUUCGUGAGUCCAACAGAUCAGAUGCAGUAGGGAUGCGCGAAUUGAACAAUUUUCCUGUCCUGCUAAUCAUUCAAAAUCUAACGAGUACUUUUGGGUGUCAGGGAAAAUGUAUGGAGUUGAAAGUACAUUAUUUUCUUUAUGAAUGUAGUGGAGUAAAAGUAGAAGUUGUCAAAAAUAUCAAAAGUAAAGUACAGAUACCCCAAAACUCCAUACAUUUUCCCUGACACCCAAAAUUACUUAAAAUAUUUGUACUUAAGUACUUUACUUCACUGAUUGCAGGGAAUACUGACUGAAGAUGUUCCUCCCUACGAGGCCCAUGAGACUGUGUAGGGAUGUGAUUUGAAUAGGACUGUGACUGAAGGAUUGGGAAGUUUAUUUAUCUAUAUUUGUAUUUUGUUUUGAUGUCGUCGUUCCCCCUCCUCUUUUCAACAUUGGACGUGUAUAUUUUUCUACAGUUUACUAACCAUACAGUAGGUGGCGGCAGACACGUUAUAUUUGUGUAAAUGUCAGUAUACCAGAGAAGAAGAUGACGCUGCUGCGCUAGAGUAGUGGGGAACAGGAAGUUCCGGGUCGAAACGACAGAACUGUGCUGUUGUGUCGAUAGUGGUUGUGUCCGUUUCAAAUGUAUCAUUGCAGACCAACUCAGAUUAAGUCUGAGGUUUGUAACAUCAACAGUGAGGACAAACCCAGCCUGCCUCUCUCCUUCCACACUGAGUAGAAACCUACAGUCACUGGGUCCUGAUUGUGACAGUGGAGCCCAGUUUGCUCUGCAGGAUUCAGAGAUGGCAUCAGUGAAGCUGGAAGACUGCAGUCAAACACUGGAGCUGAAUGUCAUCAUUAAAGAUGAAGAAGAAGAGGAGAAGAUUAGGACAACUGUUAGUCAUGACCGACUCAGAUUAAGUCUGAGGCCGGUAACAUCAACAGUGAGGACAAUCCCAGCCUGCCUCUCUCCUUCCACACUGAGUAGAAACCUACAGUCACUGGGUCCUGAUUGUGACAGUGGAGCCCAGUUUGCACUGCAGGAUUCAGAGAUGGCAUCAGUGAAGCUGGAAGACUGCAGUCAAACACUGGAGCUGAAUGUCAUCAUUAAAGAUGAAGAAGAGGAGGAGAAGAUCAGGACAACUGUUAGUCAUGGUAAGAGCUGGUUCUAUCUAUAAGUUAAAUUCGUAAAUUAGACUAGAUGUCAACCGAUUAUGAUUUUUCAACGUCGAUACCGAUUAUUGGAGGACCAAAAAAGCAGAUACCGAUUAAUCGGCCUAUUUUAUAUUAUUUAUUUGUAAAAAUGACAAUUACAACAAUACUGAAUUAACACUUAUUUUAACUUAAAAUAAUCAAUAAAAAUCAUAAAUAAAAACUAUUUAGCCUCAAAUAAUGAAACAUUUCAACAAUUUGGUUGAAAUAAUGCAAAAACAAAGUGUUGGAGAAGAAAGUAAAAGUGCAAUAUGUGCCAUGUAAAAAAGCUAACGUUUAAGUUCCUUGCUCAGAACAUGAGAACAUAUGAAAACUGGUGGUUCCUUUUUACAUGAGUCUUCAAUAUUCCCAGGUAAGAAGUUUUAGGUUGUAGUUAUUAUAGGACUAUUUCUCUCUAUACCAUUUGUAUUUCAUUAACAUUGACUAUUGGAUAUUCUUAUAGGCACUUUAGUAUUGCCAGUGUAACAGUAUAGCUUCUGUCCCUCUCCUCACCCCUACCUGGGCUCGAACCAGGAACACAUCGACAACAGCCACCCUCGAAGCAUCGUUACCCAUUGCUCCACAAAAGCUGCGGUCCUUGCAAAGCAAGGGGAACAACUACUCCAAGUCUCAGAGCGAGCUGCUGGCAAAACGCACGACAGUGCUACCAUCGCUCAGUCAGACUGCUCUAUCAAACAUCAAAUCAUAGACUUAAUUAUAACAUAAUUACACACAGAAAUAUGAGCCUUUGGUCAUUAAAAUGGUCGAAUCCGGAAACGAUCAUUUUGAAAACAAAACGUUUAUUCUUUCAGUGAAAUACCAAACCGUUCCGUAUUUUAUCUAACGGGUGGCAUCCCUAAGUCUAAAUAUUGCUGUUACAUUGUACAACCUUCAAUGUUAUGUCAUAAUUAUGUAUAUUCUGGCAAAUUAAUUACGGUCUUUGUUAGGAAUAAAUGGACUUCACACAGUUCACAACGAGCCAGGUGGCCCAACCUGCUGCAUAUACCCUGACUGCACGGAACGCAAGAGAAGUGACACAAUUUCCCUAGUUAUAAGAAAUUCAUGUUAGCAGGCAAUAUUAACUAAAUAUGCAGGUUUAAAAAUAUAUAAUUGUGUAUUGAUUUUAAAGAAAUGCAUUGAUAUUUAUGGUUAGGUUUGGUGCAACGACAGUGCUAAAUCAUCACCCGUUUGGCGAAGUCGGCUGUGAUUCCAUGAGAAAUUAACAGGCACCGCAUCGAUUAUAUGCAACGCAGGACACACUAGAUAAACUAGUAAUAUCAUCAACCAUGUGUACUUAACUAGAGAUUAUGUGAAGAUUGAUUGUUUUUUUAUAAGUUUAAUGCUAGCUAGCAUCUUACCUUGGCUUCUUGCUGCCCUCGCUUAACUUGUAGUCAGCCUGCAGGCUCCUCGUGGAGUGCAAUAUAAGGCAGGUGGUUAGAGCGUUGGACUAGUAACCGGAAGUUUGCAAAAACGAAUCCCCGUGUUGACAAGGUCUAUCGUUCUGCCCCUGAACAAGGCAGUUAACCCACUGUUCCUAGGCCGCCAUUGAAAAUAAGAAUGUGUUCUUAACUGACUUGCCUCGUUGACAUCGGCUCUGGAUUUGUAACAGUAUAACUUUAGUCCGUCCCCUCGCCCCGACCCGGGCGCGAGCCAGGGACCCUCUGCACACGUCAACAGUCACCCUCGAAGCAUCGUUACCCAUCGCUCCACAAAAGCUCUGUAUGGUUUGUUCCCCCUUCGCCGUAAGAUUAUUUAUUUUUUAAUUCAUAGUUGGGGACUUGGUGCGUAUAUCCAAGUUGAGGGGUGUUUAGACUAAAAAUAUGAGCAGCAAUGAGUUGUUCACCGCUACCAAGUGUUGUCUUGGAGGAUCGUUACAAAAUAUAACACUUACAAGAACUUGUGAAUUCAAUAUAGGCUUUUAAUACAAACAUAUCAGAAGCCUAGAUGGUCCGCGGAACACACAACUUCCCAGAGCACUGGCUGUGUUUUUAUACACAUACAGUAUAUGAGUCCAUUCCAUAUGUUAAUGAAGUUACUUCCCUCAAGUCAUCGGUCACCAUUAUCUUUCAGUCCAGGCUUCCUCCAUGUUCAUGCCUAAUAACGCCUGUAUCCGCUCUUGAUUAGAUUACAAUGGUGGCAGGACCCUCUCAUGUCCUAAAAUUAAUGUAUAUCUAUCUUACCCUAAGCACUUAUGUCCUUUACCCUCUCUAUCUAAUCUUUAUAAUGAUGUCCUGCUCCUUCCAUAAUAGAUCAUGUAUUUAAGGGUCACCUCCUCCUCUUUGCCCUAAGCCCUUAUGCACAGUAAAGCACGUAUGGCUUCGGCCAUUACACUUAUGUCUGUUUAAUCUUUGGUUUCCUGUCCGCUUUCUGUUUGUGGUCUAAUGUAUACCUAUCUUUGCUCAAUAGUGUCAUAUCUGUCUCUAUAUGUAACAAUAACUACAACAGCCGCAGCCCUUGCAGAGCAAGGGGAACCACUACUUCAAGGUCUCAGAGUAAGUGACGUCACCAAUUGAAACGCUAUUAGUGCGCACCACCUCUAACUAGCUAGCCGUUUCACAUCGGCUACACUCACCCCCCUUUUGACCUCCUCCUUUUCCGCAGCAACCAGUUGACAUCUGGACGGCUCUGACUUAGAAUACGUGGACAACUACAAAUACCUAGGUGUCUGGUUAGACUGUAAACUCUCCUUCCAGACCCACAUCAAACAUCUCCAAUCCAAAGUUAAAUCUAGAAUCGGCUUUCUAUUUCGCAACAAAGCAUCCUUCACUCAUGCUACCAAACAUACCCUUGUAAAACUGACCAUCCUACUAAUCCUCGACUUCGGUGAUGUCAUUUACAAAAUAGCCUCCAAUACCCUACUCAACAAAUUGGAUGCAGUCUAUCACAGUGCCAUCCGUUUUGUCACCAAAGCCCCAUAUACUACCCACCAUUGCGACCUGUACGCUCUCGUUGGCUGGCCCUCGCUUCAUACUCGUCGCCAAACCCACUGGCUCCAUGUCAUCUACAAGACCCUGCUAGGUAUCUCAGCUCGCUGGUCACCAUAGCAUCUCCCACCUGUAGCACGCGCUCCAGCAGGUAUAUCUCUCUGGUCACCCCCAAAACCAAUUCUUUCUUUGGCUGCCUCUCCUUCCAGUUCUCUGCUGCCAAUGACUGGAACAAACAUCUCUGAAACUGGAAACAUUUAUCUCCCUCACUAGCUUUAAGCACCAGCUGUCAGAGCAGCUCACAGACUACUGCACCUGUACAUAGCCCACCUAUAAUUUAGCCCAAACAACUACCUCAUUCCCUACUGUAUUAAUUUUAUUUUAUUUAUUUAUUUUAUUUAUUUUGCUCCUUUGCACCCCAUUAUUUUUAUUUCUACUUUGCACAUUCUUCCACUGCAAAUCUACCAUUCCAGUGUUUUACUUGCUACAUUGUAUUUACUUUGCCACCAUGGCCUUUUUUUGCCUUUUACCUCCCUUAUCUCACCUCAUUUGCUCACAUCGUAUAUAGACUUGUUUCUACUGUAUUAUUGACUGUAUGUUUGUUUUACUCCAUGUGUAACUCUGUGUCGUUGUAUGUGUCGAACUGCUUUGCUUGUGC